CAUACCUCUGGUGUACCAGUUGUCGUGCCAACGGCAUAGCUGGGUAGCUAUGUGUGGACGGGAUAAGUGCUGAAAGCAUCUAAGCAUGAAGCCCCCCUCAAGAUGAGAUUUCCCAACUUCGGUUAUAAGAUCCCUCAAAGAUGAUGAGGUUAAUAGGUUCGAUGUGGAAGCAUGGUGACAUGUGGAGCUGACGAAUACUAAUCGAUCGAAGACUUAAUCAAAA
rnacentral:rRNA from 1 species